rnacentral:rRNA from 1 species
AGAGUUUGAUUUUGGCUCAGAUUGAACGCUGGCGGCAUGCCUUACACAUGCAAGUCGAACGGCAGCACGGGAGCUUGCUCCUGGUGGCGAGUGGCGAACGGGUGAGUAAUAUAUCGGAACGUACCCUAGAGUGGGGGAUAACGCAGCGAAAGUUGCGCUAAUACCGCAUACGAUCUACGGAUGAAAGUGGGGGAUCGCAAGACCUCAUGCUCAUGGAGCGGCCGAUAUCUGAUUAGCUAGUUGGUGGGGUAAAGGCCUACCAAGGCAUCGAUCAGUAGCUGGUCUGAGAGGACGACCAGCCACACUGGAACUGAGACACGGUCCAGACUCCUACGGGAGGCAGCAGUGGGGAAUUUUGGACAAUGGGGGCAACCCUGAUCCAGCAAUGCCGCGUGAGUGAAGAAGGCCUUCGGGUUGUAAAGCUCUUUUGUCAGGGAAGAAACGGUGAGGGCUAAUAUCCUUUGCUAAUGACGGUACCUGAAGAAUAAGCACCGGCUAACUACGUGCCAGCAGCCGCGGUAAUACGUAGGGUGCAAGCGUUAAUCGGAAUUACUGGGCGUAAAGCGUGCGCAGGCGGUUUGGCAAGUCAGAUGUGAAAUCCCCGAGCUCAACUUGGGAACUGCGUUUGAAACUGCCAGACUAGAAUAUGUCAGAGGGGGGUAGAAUUCCACGUGUAGCAGUGAAAUGCGUAGAGAUGUGGAGGAAUACCAAUGGCGAAGGCAGCCCCCUGGGAUAAUAUUGACGCUCAUGCACGAAAGCGUGGGGAGCAAACAGGAUUAGAUACCCUGGUAGUCCACGCCCUAAACGAUGAAAGUAGUUGUCUGGGAGCUAAAAUGUUUUGGUUACGCCAGCUACCCCGUGAAGUAGACCGCCCGGGGAGUUAGUUCGCAAGAAAAAAACUUCAAAGGAAUUGACGGGGACCCGCCCAAGCGGUGGAUGAUGUGGAUUAUUUCGAUGCAACGCGAAAAACCUUCCCCACCCUUGACAUGUACGGAACCUCUGAGAGAAUAGAGGGUGCUCGAAAGAGAGCCGUAACACAGGUGCUGCAUGGCUGUCGUCAGCUCGUGUCGUGAGAUGUUGGGUUAAGUCCCGCAACGAGCGCACCCCCCCUCACUAGUUGCUACGAAAGGGCACUCUAAUGAGACUGCCGGUGACAAACCGGAGGAAGGGGGGGAGGAGGUCAAGUCCUCAUGGCCCUUCUGGGUAGGGGUUCACACGUCAUACAAUGGUACAUACAGAGGUCCGCCAACCCGCGAGGGGGAGGUAAUCCCCGAAAGUGUAUCGUAGUCCGGAUUGUAGUCUGCAACUCGACUACAUGAAGUUGGAAUCGCUAGUAAUCGCGGAUCAGCACGUCGCGGUGAAAAAAUUCCCGGGUCUUGUACUCUCCGCCCGUCA